rnacentral:rRNA from 1 species
CGUGAGGGAAAGAUGAAAAGCACUUUGGAAAGAGAGUUAAACAGUAUGUGAAAUUGUUGAAAGGGAAACGAUUGAAGUCAGUCGUGUCGGGAGGAUUCAGCUGGCUCUGCCGGUGCACUUUCUUCUCGACGGGUCAACAUCAGUUUUGAUCGGCGGAUAAGGGCGGUGAGAAGGUGGCACCCUCGGGUGUGUUAUAGCUCGCUGUCGCAUACGUCGGUCGAGACUGAGGAAUGCAGCUCGCCUUUAUGGCCGGGGUUCGCCCACGUCCGAGCUUAGGAUGUUGACAUAAUGGCUUUAAACGACCCGUCUUGAAACACGGACCAAGGAGUCUAACAUAUCUGCGAGUGUUUGGGUGUCAAACCCGGGCGCGUAAUGAAAGUAAACGUAGGAGGGAUCCGCGAGGAGCACCUUCGACCGAUCUGGAUCUUCUGUGAUGGAUUUGAGUAAGAGCAUAUAUGCUGGGACCCGAAAGAUGGUGAACUAUGCCUGAAUAGGGCGAAGCCAGGGGAAACUCUGGUGGAGGCUCGUAGCGAUUCUGACGUGCAAAUCGAUCGUCAAAUUUGGGUAUAGGGGCGAAAGACUAAUCGAACCAUCUAGUAGCUGGUUCCUGCCGAA